rnacentral:misc_RNA from 1 species
GAUGAAGAACGCAGCGAAAUGCGAUACGUAAUGUGAAUUGCAGAAUUCAGUGAAUCAUCGAAUCAUUGAACGCAUAUUGCGCUCUCUGGUAUUCCGGAGAGCAUGCUUGUUUGAGUAUCAGUAAACACCUCAACUUCCAUAUCUUUUUUUGAAAUGGGAGUUGGACUUGAGUGAUCCCAACGCUUUUCCUCACCGAAAAGUGGCGGGUUACUUGAAAUGCAGGUGCAGCUGGACUUUUCUCUGAGCUAUAAGCAUAUCUAUUUAGUCUGCCUAAAAAACAGAUUAUUACCUUUGCUGCAGCUAACAUAAAGGAGAUUAGUUCUUGUGCUGACUGAUGCAGGAUUCACAAAGACAGCUUCGGCCGACUUUGUAAACUCGAUCUCAAAUCAAGUAAGACUACCCGCUGAACUUAAGCAUAUCAAUAAGCGGAGGA